CCCCACCACCGGCGGCUGCACCACCUGCAAAAGGAGCUCCACCACCUGCAAAAGGAGCUUCACCACCUGCAAAAGGAGCACCUCCCCCAGCUGCACCACCGGCGAAAAAGUGAACGGAAGGACCAAUGAUGCUUCCACUACGCUGUAGUCAAGACACGAACCAUCUAAAUUGAAUAAAGCUAUUUGUUGAAAAAAACUUUUUGGGAGCUCACAGCUUUGGGUCCCAGGAGCUUUAGCCCCCACAGACACCUGUACGAUGUGAGCUUUUGCCACCUCUUUCUCUCGCUGCAGCAGAGCAGAGCACAGCGACGGCGCUGCUCGCACCAUUUAUCAUUUGCCUAAAUGAUCGCUGCCUCCUCCGCUAAUACUGAUGCCGGGUGCCCACGCGCUAUGUAGUGUGCUCCCCCUCUCACACACGUACCCCUCUGGGAGGCACUCUCCCUUUCCUAUUCCCUCUGCCGCCUUCACGCACCUGCCUGCCGCCUGCCUGCCUGUCGCCAUCGGAAUCAUCGUCGUCGCCGCCUGGCGGCGUGCGAUCUGUGUCUAACGGGGCUUUUCAGUCUCCUCGCGAUGCUCUUCCGUUGAUCUUCACGUGCGCUGGCGACGUCGUUUCCUUUCCUCUCGUUUCGCUUCUACUGCUCUCUCUUUCUGUUCUCUCUACGGAAAUAUUUGCGUUUGUUUCACGGAAAAUAGUGAAAAAUCGUGUGUUGACAAAUUACUCGUACCAUUUGCAAAACAUAUGUACAGAAAUAAAAUAUGGAAAAUUUCAAAUGAAAUUACAGCGAAGGCGUAUAAAUAUUUGAAUAAUUUAAUUAACCCUCAAUGACAGGCGAAUGGCCGGACCAAGAAAUACAAUUACUAAUAUAAACAAUCAGCCGAAAAAUCAACACAAAAUUCACCCAAAAAUCAACUCUAUUACGAGAAACAGCCUUCUUCUAAUUGCA
rnacentral:sRNA from 1 species